rnacentral:rRNA from 1 species
GAUGAACGCUGGCGGCGUGCUUAACACAUGCAAGUCGAACGGAAAGGCUCUGAUAUUGUGGGGUGAUCGAGUGGAGAAUGGGUGAGUAACACGUGAGUAACAUGCCCUUGACAAUGGGAUAAAUACAGGAAAAUGGGGCUAAUAACGGAUAGGAGAUACUGCAGCAUGGUGGGGGUUGGAAAGCUAGGGCGGUUGGGGAUGGACUCGCGGCGUAUCAGCUUGUUGGUGGGGUAGUGGCUUACCAAGGCUCUGACGGGUAGCCGGCCUGUGAGGGUGACCGGCCGCAUUGGUACUGAGAUACGGCCGAGACUCCUACGGGAGGCAGCAGUGGGGAGUAUUGCACAAUGAGCGGAAGCCAGAUUCAUGAACGCCGCGUGCGUGAUGACGGCCUUCGGGUUGUAAACCGCUUUCGCCUGUAACGGAGCGUGAGUGACGGUAAUGUAUAAGGAAGCACCGGCUAACUACGUG